rnacentral:tRNA from 1 species
ACCAGAGUGGCCAAAUGGGGCAGACUGUAAAUCUGCUGGCUUUCGCCUUCGGUGGUUCGAAUCCAUCACUACCCA